AUUGAACGCUGGCGGCAUGCCUUACACAUGCAAGUCGAACGGUAACAGGUCUUCGGAUGCUGACGAGUGGCGAACGGGUGAGUAAUACAUCGGAACGUGCCUAGUUGUGGGGGAUAACUACUCGAAAGAGUGGCUAAUACCGCAUGAGAUCUACGGAUGAAAGCAGGGGAUCGCAAGACCUUGUGCUACUAGAGCGGCCGAUGGCAGAUUAGGUAGUUGGUGGGAUAAAAGCUUACCUAGCCGACGAUCUGUAGCUGGUCUGAGAGGACGAUCAGCCACACUGGGACUGAGACACGGCCCAGACUCCUACGGGAGGCAGCAGUGGGGAAUUUUGGACAAUGGGCGCAAGCCUGAUCCAGCAAUGCCGCGUGCAGGAUGAAGGCCUUCGGGUUGUAAACUGCUUUUGUACGGAACGAAAAGCCCUGGGUUAAUACCCUGGGGUCAUGACGGUACCGUAAGAAUAAGCACCGGCUAACUACGUGCCAGCAGCCGCAGUAAAAC
rnacentral:rRNA from 1 species